rnacentral:rRNA from 1 species
AGAGUUUGAUCAUGGCUCAGGACGAACGCUGGCGGCGCGCUUAAUACAUGCAAGUCGAGCGAGAACCAGGCCUUCGGGCUUGGGGAAAGCGGCGAACGGGUGAGUAACACGUGGGCAACCCACCCUUGGCACCGGGAUAGCCCGGGGAAACCCGGAUUAAUACCGGAUGGCCCAGCAGCUCUUCGGGGCGGCUGGAAAAGGUAGCUUCGGCCUCCGGCCAUGGACGGGCCCGCGGCGGAUUAGCUUGUUGGUGGGGUAACGGCCUACCAAGGCGACGAUCCGUAGCUGGUCUGAGAGGACGAUCAGCCACACUGGGACUGAGACACGGCCCAGACUCCUACGGGAGGCAGCAGUGGGGAAUCUUGCGCAAUGGACGACAGUCUGACGCAGCGACGCCGCGUGGGGGAAGAAGGCUUUCGGGUUGUAAACCCCUUUCAGAAAGGACGAAGCCACUCGGGUUAAUAGCCCAGAGGGUGACGGUACUUUCAGAAGAAGCCCCGGCUAACUACGUGCCAGCCGCCGCGGUAAUAC